rnacentral:rRNA from 1 species
AACGCUAGCUACAGGCUUAACACAUGCAAGUCGAGGGGCAGCAUAAAAGUAGCAAUACUUUGGUGGCGACCGGCGCACGGGUGAGUAACGCGUAUGCAACCUACCUAUCAGAGGGGGAUAACCCGGCGAAAGUCGGACUAAUACCGCAUAAAACAGGGGCACCGCAUGGUGAUAUUUGUUAAAAAUUUAUUGCUGAUAGAUGGGCAUGCGUUCCAUUAGGUAGUUGGAGAGGUAACGGCUCACCAAGCCCACGAUGGAUAGGGGAACUGAGAGGUUGGUCCCCCACACUGGUACUGAGACACGGACCAGACUCCUACGGGAGGCAGCAGUGAGGAAUAUUGGUCAAUGGGCGAGAGCCUGAACCAGCCAAGUCGCGUGAAGGAAGAAGGAUCUAUGGUUCGUAAACUUCUUUUGCAGGGGAAUAAAGUGCAGGACGUGUCCUGUUCUGUAUGUACCCUGAGAAUAAGGAUCGGCUAACUCCGUGCCAGCAGCCGCGGUAAUACGGAGGAUCCGAGCGUUAUCCGGAUUUAUUGGGUUUAAAGGGUGCGUAGGUGGUUUAAUAAGUCAGCGGUGAAAGUUUGCAGCUUAACUGUAAAAAUGCCGUUGAAACUGUCGGACUUGAGUGUAAAUGAGGUAGGCGGAAUGCGUGGUGUAGCGGUGAAAUGCUUAGAUAUCACGAAGAACUCCGAUUG